CGUGAGAAUCUGCCUUCAGGUUGGGGACAACCACUGGAAACGGUGGCUAAUACCGAAUAAGCCAAACGGUGAAAGAUUUAUUGCCUGAAGAUGAGUUCGCGUCUGAUUAGCUAGUUGGUAGGGUAAUGGCCUACCAAGGCGUCGAUCAGUAACUGGUCUGAGAGGAUGACCAGUCACACUGGGACUGAGACACGGCCCAGACUCCUACGGGAGGCAGCAGUGGGGAAUUUUCCGCAAUGGGCGAAAGCCUGACGGAGCAAUACCGCGUGAGGGAGGAAGGCUCUUGGGUCGUAAACCUCUUUUCUCAGGGAAGAACACAAUGACGGUACCUGAGGAAUCAGCAUCGGCUAACUCCGUGCCAGCAGCCGCGGUAAUACGGAGGAUGCAAGCGUUAUCCGGAAUGAUUGGGCGUAAAGCGUCCGCAGGUGGCAGUGCAAGUCUGCUGUCAAAGGUCGUGGCUCAACC
rnacentral:rRNA from 1 species